rnacentral:rRNA from 1 species
UACGUAGGGCGCAAGCGUUGUCCGGAAUUAUUGGGCGUAAAGAGCUCGUAGGCGGUUUGUCGCGUCGGCCGUGAAAUCUCCACGCUUAACGUGGAGCGUGCGGUCGAUACGGGGCAGACUGGAGUCCGGUAGGGGAGUGUGGAAUUCCUGGUGUAGCGGUGAAAUGCGCAGAUAUCAGGAGGAACACCAACAGCGAAGGCAGCACUCUGGGCCGGUACUGACGCUGAGGAGCGAAAGCAUGGGGAGCGAACAGG